UACGAAGGGGGCUAGCGUUGCUCGGAAUCACUGGGCGUAAAGGGCGCGUAGGCGGCCAAGUAAGUUGGGGGUGAAAGCCCGUGGCUCAACCACGGAAUUGCCUUCGAUACUGCUUGGCUUGAGACCGGAAGAGGUGAGUGGAACUGCGAGUGUAGGGGUGAAAUUCGUAGAUAUUCGCAAGAACACCAGUGGCGAAGGCGGCUCACUGGGCCGGAUCUGACGCUGAGGCGCGAAAGCGUGGGGAGCAGACAGG
rnacentral:rRNA from 1 species